UAUACCUCUAUGGCAAAACCCAGAACUUGUAAGUUUGCUUCUGCAUCAGGAAAUAUAUCUUGACACCUGAUUUCCUCAUGAAAAUUCUAGGCCCAAAAAAACUUAGUAAAUGCUUCAGAUUUCAGGUUAACAUGUUUGUUCAUGCCUGUACAUCUUAAAUUCAUUAAAAUUCAUUAUGCCCAUGCAAAAUGCAUUUUUUGAUGGCUUUAGGACAACAUAUGCACAUUUGGCAAUCAGCAGAAAUCAUAACAAUCAAAUUGUAGUAUGUAUAUGCUACCUUUAUAUGACCAGGAUGUUAGUGUUAAACUGAAUGCUAUCUGGCCAUAAAAAAAUUGCCGUGAGAAGGUUGUAGUGAUUGUGACUUGAAAAUAGUCAUAUAUAGACAGUCCUGAUUAUAAUUUCCAGGUGACUUUCAUGUUCUCAUAAUUUUAUAGCGUGUAUUUCAGAAGAGCUCAUCUGGUUAUUCAUAUCUCAUCCAUUUAUUGAUCUAGGAGCACACCCAUUAGAAAGCAGAGGAAAUUUAUUAUAUAAUAACAUUCAAGUUGUGACAUUAAAUUUGAAGAGGAAAACAGUAUCCUGUCAUUGUUUUUAUACAUAUGUGUAAUUCUGUAUGUGGCUGGGUUUUUUUAGAAUUAAUAUUUCUUGCCUGGGCAAAUUUCCGUAUUAUACAUUUUGACCACUUCCGUCAACCAUAAGAUACAAUAAAAAUAAAUGUUUUAUUUAGUGCUUUAAAUUACAAAAUCUCUUAUCUCCAUCUCCCACUUACUGUUUUAACAGCCUUAUUGGUACUUAACAUGGCAGUUGUUCUACUUUACAAAAGAAGGCUGUCUGAAAUAUAACACCUGUUUGAAACUAAAACACAAGUUUCACAGUUUCAUCAGGCACAGUUAUCCUGAAAGACUAGCAAGUCCAGGUGAAACAUUUGCUGGUGCUCUUGGGUCUGAUGCUGGUGAACGCAGCCUCUCAACAAAGCGUUACAUUGUGUUGGGCAAAUUGAAAGUUCUGAUACAUCCUCUGGUGUUCGGUUAUAAAUGUUUUCAGGAUAACCUGCCUUUCCAAUGCGUAAUAGAAAUAAAAAGUAACUGUAGAGGUACUUUAAUUAGAGAAGAGAACUUUCCCAUAGCUAGCUCUUCUAAACAGUUCAGCAACCCUGUUAACAGGAUGGAAGCUCAGAGCUAGAUUCUAGCAUCUCAUUUCAAAAGUAUAGCUGUGGUCCUACAAAUAUGUUUCGAAAUCCAUAAAUGCUUACCGAUAUGCAGCAACAAUCCUAGGGACUAAACAGCAUCCCAAAUGGCAUUGGGAAACAUACAUGUUUAUCUCUGCCUGGAAAGUUAUUUAGCUGCAAUUUUGAAUGGUUUACAAUCAACAGUAGAUUAUGUUAAUACCCAUUUCUAUAAAGUUGAAUCCAUUAAUGUGCUAAUCAAUCCCUCCCACACAAGGAAUUUUAUAUUCUUUGGGAAGGUUUGGCACUAAAUUAAAAAUCACUUCUAAGAUUUCUAACAUUAAAUAAGUUGAUACAUUCUGUUACACAGAUAGCAACAGAUUUCUUUUCCCAUGUGUCACUUGAAGGUACUACGUAAAAAACUAGUAGAAAUAUCGUGACGCAUUUAAUUCUCAAGGCAGAACUUAGUUGGUCGCCCCUUUCUAACAACUUAAUCAGUUUUCAUUGAAGGCAAAUUCUUAUGCCCAGGAUUAUAGGUCAUGGCUGCCAACCUUUAAAAAGAAUCCACUUUUUAAAAUGUUUCCCUUCUAUAGGCAUGUUAAAAUGCUGCAAGUUAGUGGUUCCCAAGCCAGUUUGAACACCAUAAUUAUCUGGGAAGCUUAUUAAACUAUACAUUCCUGGGCUCCACACCCAGAGUUCCCAAAACAAAAUGUUAGGUAUCAUCAUUCAUCAUUUUCUCAGAAUGUAGCAAUUCCUGAAGAACCAUAUGCCAGACUACUUAGUGUGACACUGGAAUAUGCAUUUUUGACAAACCUCUCAUCCUCAAGUACUUUACAUGUAAAUGCCACUUUGAUAAAUACAGAUAGGUGGAAUGAAGCAUUUCGCUAAAGUCUAUAUAAAGCUACAGUGCAAAGACAGUAUUUCUUCAUUUCUUUUUUGAGGAGCGUUACUGUAGUGUUAGACCUCUGACCUGAGAAGCUUGGGGUACUAUUGCUGUGAACCUUUUCUUGCAUUUCUUGAAAGGUUUCAUCAGAACAGCAACAUAAGUUGUUUUAUAAGAAAUUUAGAAUAUUCUGAUGGACUGAACUUUUUUCCUCUAGUAGAUAAGUGUCAAGUCUUGUUAGCCUGGGAACCAGUUUCUCGUCUUUUAGGAGUGUUUAGGUUCAUUGUGGGGGGAAAAAAGCCUUAUUUCUAAACUCCUCCGCACUUUUAAUAUAUAUGAGUAUCUUAAAAGGGGAGGGGUUAACUUAUUUUAAACAUAGUGACAUUUCACCCUACUACUUUUACAACUAAUUAUUCUAAGAUGUUUAGCCAAUGUGAUCUUUUAAUUAAGGUUACUAUUUUCCCCUAAAUGUCAAACCAGUCAUUUUUAAUCCCAGAAGUGCAAAUCUGACUAGAAAGAAGCAUCACUUUAUUUAGUAUUAGUAACUUAAGAGCAGUAGAUCUUUAAGAAAUUUAGAUGUCAUGAGCUAGGACUUUAAGGAUCCAUUUCAACAUAAAAAAUUCAGGCCUAAUGUCAGUAAAUUUCCUCAUCAUAUAUUUCCACAUGUUUUGGUAUCAUGUUCACCAGGCAACUUUAUGGCUAUAAUUAGAUUUCUUCCAUAGUUUACCUCCUUGGAGGUAAUACACUGGCCAAAGAAAUAUGUGUCUUUGCUUCAUAAUUUGAUAAAUCAGAUUAUUUUUUUUUUAACCACACACACUCACCUGUCUCUUCACUGAUUACUGUGCCUUCAGCCUGAGAGACAUUGACUUGCUUAUCAACAAAGUCAGCUGUCUUGAUCCCAUAUGUUUAAAGUCCCCACUUUAGAUUGGUAAAUAAGCUUCUUUUGAUUUUUUUUCAUUUAUAAAAGCUAAAUAUAAGAACAAAUUACUUCAGUAAGUCAAUUAUGCCAAAUGCCAAAGCAUAUGGAGAUACAUAUAAAAAAAAUAGAGUAAACUAAAAAAAUUCGUUCUUUCAUCAGGCUGGUAAUAAACAUUGAUUUGUGUGUGUGUGAUUGUUUCUGAGUAUACUAACAUGUCUUUCAGUCUUGAGUAUCUCCCACUAUGGCUGCUAUAUUACCCAGAAGAUGAACCAGAAACAGAAAGUGUACCAUUUAGUUUCCCUUGGAUCCAAGUUAAAGCUCAACCAGGUCUUUCCCUGCUGAUUCUGCAAAGCUAGUUGUCUUGGCUGUGUUUCACUAGUUACUAGGUAGGGACCUUGGGAAUCUUGUUCAUCCAUUCAUAAGCAUCAUUAUUUAGAUGAUGAGGCAUUUGGCUACCUUGAGAGUCAUAGUUACUCCCUGUGUUACCCUCACUUCAUUGAAUUUCUUCACUAUGACAUUCAGAGCGCUGGGCAGAAAUCACUUAUUAGUUUUGGGGACUUUGGUAUUUUUUCAAGUUAGAGUUGCGCUAAAUUGGAAAAUAAAGUAGUCCACAUCAUUAGCUAUGGGGUUCUUUAACCUGAAAGGCAGAAGACAGCAUAAUUGCAUUUAAUUAUGGAUAAGAUAAAGAAUUGUGGGGUGAGAAGGGAAGAAAUUUUUUUAAGGUGACUAUAUUUUAACUCCUCUUGCCUAAUAAAUUUAUUGGAAUAUGAAAUUUAGUCCUUCUAGCAUUCCAUUGUGUUAAUCAUUCUUCCUGCUCAAGAGGCAGUGAAGAAUAAUUUAUGAGUGGCUGCAGUUAUAACUAUGCUGUAUAUGCACCCAAGGGUGGAGAUGAGGAUGGAGUUAAAGGUGUUAAAGAGAAGAAGUUGGCCUUCAUUUUUUGUUGUUAAUCAUUUGAUGGUUUCUAUUGCCCCUAGAGACUCAUCUGAAGUAUCACUAUUCUUAGAACCAGAGUUUAUUCAAGGGCCAAAAACACGAACAAGAAUACCCCAUUAAAAUUCCUCGCAAACCUUGUAGAUCUUAAAAGAGCAGGUGUAUCUGUGGGCUGUCACAGUGGUCAGUCUUGCUCCGUUCAGCAUAAGCUUAACAAAUAAUAGUGGAGACUGACAGAAUUUAGGAUUUGCCUAAAACCCUCUAAGGUACCCAGUGUUAGCUAAUUCCUCUCCCUUUUUAUGCAUGUAUUAGUUUGCCCAAUGAGUGAUUGACCUCUGUUUGAAUAGCCACAGUGAUACUGGGGCAGUUUAUUGUGUUUUUAGACAGCUCUUUUUUCCUGAGGACCCCUAGAACUGAAUACAAUAUCCUAAAUUGAUUCUGUGUCACAAAACAUGAGUACAGUGAGGACUUGGGUAGGUGGAAACGGCAUAACUUGUUUGGAUGCGUAGCUCACUCCAUAAGUAGACUAACCAAGUGAACAAGAAGCUGUUGGAGAAACUUAAAGGUUCUUUUUCCAGGUGUUAUUUUUAAACCUAUGGGAAUACUUUCAUAAAAGAACAGUAAUUUCCAUUAUGUUAGCUGCUAGAAUGACAGUGGCAAGUUUUAGGAGCUAUUUGUUACAUGUAAAACUAUAAAAUUAUAUGCAUAAGUAUAUGAUUGUUGUACCUGUGUUGCAAUAAACUUAAAUCUCAGUUUCAUUUAUUUCUUAGUUUAUAAUCAUUAAGUUUCUCUUCCCCCAGGCUGUAGUGUGAGUAUAUUUUAAUACUUGCUGUAUUAAUUGACCAAACAGAAGCACUCAGCAAUAAUCUGAUUUGCCAAAAAGCAUUAUGGUCAAGACCAAGUUGAAUUAAAUAUCCAGCCAGCACUUUUAAGUUUCUGUGAUCAUACAUGCAUGCAUGAAGUUGAGCUUUCUUUACCCUUUUCCUGUUAAGGACCAGAAUGGGAAUGGACAAGCUACAGCAAGCACAGCCUCUGUUUUUAGAACCUGGAAGUUAAGAACGUUUUUUCCAUUUUUAAAGGAUUGUUG
rnacentral:lncRNA from 1 species